AUUGAACGCUGGCGGCAGGCCUAACACAUGCAAGUCGAGCGAGCGGCGGACGGGUGAGUAAUGUCGGGGAAACUGCCUGAUGGAGGGGGAUAACUACUGGAAACGGUAGCUAAUACCGCAUACCAUCAGAUGUGCCCAGAUGGGAUUAGCUAGUAGGUGGGGUAACGGCGCACCUAGGCGACGGUCCCUCGCUGGUCUGAGAGGAUGACCAGCCACACUGGAACUGAGACACGGUCCAGACUCCGACGGGAGGCAGCAGUGGGGAAUAUUGCACAAUGGGCGCAAGCCUGAUUCAGCCAUGCCGCGUGUGUGAAGAAGGCCUGCGGGUUGGAAAGCACUUUCAGCGGGGAGGCGUUACCCGCAGAAGAAGCACCGGCUAACUCCGUGCCAGCCGCCGCGGUAAUAC
rnacentral:rRNA from 1 species